rnacentral:rRNA from 1 species
UACGUAGGGACCAAGCGUUGUUCGGAUUUACUGGGCGUAAAGGGCGCGUAGGCGGCGUUGUAAGUCGCUUGUGAAAUCUCCGAGCUUAACUCGGAACGGUCAAGUGAUACUGCUGUGCUAGAGUGCAGAAGGGGCAAUCGGAAUUCUUGGUGUAGCGGUGAAAUGCGUAGAUAUCAAGAGGAACACCUGAGGUGAAGACGGGUUGCUGGGCUGACACUGACGCUGAGGCGCGAAAGCUAGGGUAGCAAACGGG